rnacentral:lncRNA from 1 species
CUUUCACACAAAAUUAAUAAUUUCUUUCUUGAGACGAUCUUAGUGUUAAUGGUUUCAGGUGCGUCGUCACCAGUUAGCUCGGAGCACGUAGCGGGAAUCGUCUCGAUUUCGGUCGUCGGCGAUCGGUCUCUUUCUUCCCGUAAGGGCGAAACUGUGGGUUUUCCUUUCUUCGGACCUUUCGUGCUCUCCCUUCUUUGUUUUCUCACCUCUAUAUAUAAAUUUUCUGCAUCCGCUGUUGCGGAUAAGCGAUUUGCUGUGGUUAAAGGGGCGUAUUUUCAUGAUUAAUUAGCAAAGGUCCCACGUC